rnacentral:rRNA from 1 species
GAAUCUUGCACAAUGGGGGAAACCCUGAUGCAGCGACGCCGCGUGAGUGAUGAAGCCCUUCGGGGUGUAAAGCUCUUUCGGCAGGAACGAUAAUGACGGUACCUGCAGAAGAAGCUGCGGCUAACUACGUGCCAGCAGCCGCGGUAAUACGUAGGCAGCAAGCGGUGUUCGGAGUUACUGGGCGUAAAGAGUGUGUAGGCGGUCAGCUAAGUUCGGUGUGAAAUCUCCCGGCUCAACUGGGAGGGUGCGCCGAAGACUGGCAGGCUUGAGUGCGGGAGAGGAAAGCGGAAUUCCUGGUGUAGCGGUGAAAUGCGUAGAUAUCAGGAGGAACACCUGCGGUGUAGACGGCUUUCUGGACCGCAACUGACGCUGAGACACGAAAGCGUGGGUAGCAAACAGG